rnacentral:lncRNA from 1 species
UGCCUAUCUGUUGAAGGUGCUUUGAAAGAGCAGAUCCUGAGAAAUAAGCAUGCCUUUCUCCCAAGACAGCUUUUUUGAGUAAAGACGAGGGAUGAAGGUAAGAUGUGAGUCACACAUUUGAAGAGAAGAUCUGAGUAACGGGAAGCGAGAGAGAAGACAAGGAGAGGAUGAAGGAGUGAAGAUUUCACACACUUGUUAGAAGAGUAGGAAGACAUACACAAGAUGUUGAAAUUUCUCCCAGAUUGUUGAAGCAUCAAUUAAGAAGACUCAUCUCCAAUGUGGGCAGGAGCAUUUAUGCAAAAAGAGCAUGUACUUCCUGCUACCUGGUGGCUUAGAUGAAAGCUGUGACACUACGGUUUAGAGAUGGAGACACUUUAUAUAGCUGAAUUCAGGUAAGGCUACAGGAAGAGGUCAUGGAACAUACUGAACAUAUCUAAAUUAAACCAACCUUCAACCUUGUAACAGCAACUAGUCCUAACCCAGGGGAUGUUUAUAUAGCCUGCAUUUCUUGUCUUCACGUAAGGUGCUUUCACUGACCUGUUGCACCUGUCUCUGGACCCAC